AAAAAGCUCGUAGUUGGAUCAAGAGUUCGACAGUGCAGGUGGCCCUGCUUGUAUCGUUGGCUCCGGUCAUCGGUACGGCAGCGGAUCACCCCUUGCGCCAAACUGUCGUCUCUAACAGACCGAAACGGUUCCCUGUGAGUAGGUUCCUUCAUUGGGGCUGAAAGCGCCUUACGCAUCAACCAUAUGCUUACGGGACGUCGGUCAAAGUUACUGUGAACAAACCAGCGUGUCCAAAACAGGCUUUCGCCUGAAUGUUCGAGCAUGGAAUAACAAGGGAUCCGAUUCUCUCGGUUCUUUUUGUUGGUUUUUAACCCGAGAAGGAGUUAAUUCAGGCCACGGUGUCUGGGCUGGGUUUCCCC
rnacentral:rRNA from 1 species